rnacentral:rRNA from 1 species
CGCUUAACACAUGCAAGUCGCACGAGAAAGUGGAGCAAUCCAUGAGUACAGUGGCGUACGGGUGAGUAACACGUGGAUCAUCUACCUUCUAGUGGGGAAUACCCCCGGGAAACUGGGGACAAUACCGCAUAAGCUCGUAAGAGGAAAGCAGCAAUGCGCUGGAAGAGGAGUCCGCGGCUGAUUAGCUAGUUGGCGGGGUAAUGGCCCACCAAGGCGAAGAUCGGUAGCCGGCCCGAGAGGGCACACGGCCACACUGGCACUGAAACACGGGCCAGACUCCUACGGGAGGCAGCAGUGGGGAAUCUUGCACAAUGGAGGAAACUCUGAUGCAGCGACGCCGCGUGAGCGAUGAAGCCCUUCGGGGUGUAAAGCUC